ACGGGGUGCAGCAGGCGCGAAAACUUUACAAUGCGAGAAAUCGUGAUAAGGGAACCCCGAGUGCCCGUAAAUUCGGGCUGUCCAUCAGUGUAAAUAACUGGUGAAGAAAGGGCCGGGCAAGACCGGUGCCAGCCGCCGCGGUAAUACCGGCGGCUCGAGUGGUGGCCACUAUUACUGGGCUUAAAGCGUUCGUAGCUGGUUUGUUAAGUCUCUGGGGAAAUCUUCCGGCUUAACCGGAAGGCGUCUCAGGGAUACUGGCAGACUAGGGACCGGGAGAGGUGAGAGGUACUCCAGGGGUAGGAGUGAAAUCCUGUAAUCCUUGGGGGACCACCUGUGGCGAAGGCGUCUCACCAGAACGGCUCCGACAGUGAGGGACGAAAGCUGGGGGAGCAAACCGGAUUAGAUACCCGGGUAGUCCUAGCCGUAAACGAUGUGCGUUAGGUGUAUCGGUGACCACGAGUCACCGAGGUGCCGAGGAGAAAUCGUGAAACGUACCGCCUGGGAAGUACGGUCGCAAGGCUGAAACUUAAAGGAAUUGGCGGGGGAGCAC
rnacentral:rRNA from 1 species